CACGUAGUUAGCCGGGGCUUUCUUCUCAAGUACCGUCACUCCCGGAGUAGUUACCCUCCGGGCCGUUCUUCCUUGGCAACAGAGCUUUACGAUCCGAAAACCUUCAUCACUCACGCGGCGUUGCUCCGUCAGGCUUUCGCCCAUUGCGGAAGAUUCCCUACUGCUGCCUCCCGUAGGAGUCUGGGCCGUGUCUCAGUCCCAGUGUGGCCGAUCACCCUCUCAGGUCGGCUACGCAUCGUCGCCUUGGUAGGCCAUUACCCUGCCAACUAGCUAAUGCGCCGCAGGCCCAUCCGUAAGCCGCAGCCCCGAACGAAUCGGAACCGCGUUUCUUGGCUUCUCCAUGCGAAGAAGCCACCUAUCCGGUAUUAGCUACCGUUUCCGGUAGUUAUCCCAGUCUUACGGGCAGGUUGCCUACGUGUUACUCACCCGUCCGCCGCUCCGGAUUGUCUCCCGAAGGAACGCUCCAGCGCUCGACUUGCAUGUAUUAGGCACGCCGCCAGCGUCGUCCU
rnacentral:rRNA from 1 species